GGCCUCCCAAAGUGCUGGGAUUACAGGCGUGAGCCACCGCACCCGGCCACUUCCCUCAUUUUAUAAAAUUGGGGUUGUAACAACACUUACCCACGACGGUACUAAAAGCCUUAAAUGACAUAAAGUAUUUAAAGCAUUUAGCCUAAUACCUAACCUAUAGUAAAGAUUAACUGUUAUUUUUGUUUCCCUUAAGCUUUGGGUAACAACUGGGCGGUGGUCCUGUUAGGAGAUACAAUGUAGCUGUUCCUUGUUGCCUAUUGAAGAGAGCUGAAUGCUUUGGUGGCCAGACAUGGAAGCAGUAUUGCUGACACUUUGUUAUCAAAACCAAGAGGCCUGUCUUAAAUUCUCAUGCGGAUAAGCAGGAGGAGGGGGAAUCACCCAACAUCUGUAGAGAGCUGGACCACAGGGGUAGAAACAGAAUUGUUUAAGACACCAAUACCAAGCUAAAUAGUUAGUGCCACCAGUGAUGAAAUAAAAAUAACCGCAGCCAUUAAGAAAGAACAUUGAAUUCAUGUUUUUGGAUCAUGGGUCUGGAAAACUAUUUAAUGUACAUUUUACCUUGGAAGACAUGACAUAAUUCAAUUUUAUAUGAAUUUUAUAUUGUAUAAUUUAUUUGUUUUCAAAUCUUCAAACAUUGGGUUUUACAGUGUUUCAUAAAGCUACCUUACCAAUCUUACUUGACGACGUAAAACGUACUGAAGGUAUUAUUGACUCUGUUGAAGCGGAGAGAACAAAACGCAGUUUUUACAUAAUGAGAAAGGCGUUUUAAAUGUUUUUCAGACUUCCUUGGCUCCACUACCCUGCUAUGUGUACCUUAUUGAGCAUCCUUCCCUCAAAUAUGCAACCACUCGUUCUAUAGCCAAGUAUCCUGUGGGUAUAGAAGUUGGUCCUCAGCCGCAAGGGGUUCUGAGAGCUGAUAUCUUGGAUCAAAUGAGAAAAAUGAUUAAACAUGCUCUUGAUUUUAUACAUCAUUUCAAUGAAGG